rnacentral:rRNA from 1 species
GACGAACGCUGGCUGCGUGCUUAACACAUGCAAGUCGAACGCUGAAGCCGACAGCUUGCUGUUGGUGGAUGAGUGGCGAACGGGUGAGUAACACGUGAGUAACCUGCCCCUGAUUUCGGGAUAAGCCUGGGAAACUGGGUUUAAUACCGGAUACGACCACCUGACGCAUGCUGGGUGGUGGAAAGUUUUUCGAUCGGGGACGGGCUCGCGGCCUAUCAGCGUGUUGGUGGGGUAAUGGCCUACCAAGGCGACGACGGGUAGCCGGCCCGAGAUGGCGACCGGCCACACUGGGACUGAGACACGGCCCAGACUCCUACGGGAGGCAGCAGUGGGGAAUAUUGCACAAUGGGGGAAACCCUGAUGCAACGACGCAGCGUGCGGGAUGACGGCCUUCGGGUUGUAAACCGCUUUCAGCAGGGAAGCAGCGAAAGUGACGGUACCUGCAGAAGAAGUACCGGCUAACUACGUGCCAGCCGCCGCGGUAA